GCACUCCAGCCUGGUUAACAAGACCGAAACUCCGUCUUAAAAAAUAUAUAAAUAAAUAAGUUAAAUAAAUAAAUAAAUUAUGGGGAUCACCACAAAAAUAUUGGAGAAUUUAAUCAAAGAGUGAUUCAAAAAUUGUGGAGCAUUCAGCUGUGGUUUGGAGCUUGUGACUUUAUGAGAGCAGCUUGAAGGAAAGACUUUUAAAGGGACUGUUGACAUUUAGGGAUGUGGCCAUAGAAUUCUCUCUGGAAGAAUGGCAAUGCCUGGACACUGCACAGCGGAAUUUAUAUAAAAAUGUGAUUUUAGAGAACUACAGAAACCUGGUCUUCCUGGGUAUUGCUGUCUCUAAGCAAGACCUGAUCACCUGUCUGGAGCAAGAAAAAGAGCCUUUGACUGUGAAGAGACAUGAGAUGGUGAAUGAACCCCCAGUAAUGUGUUCUCAUUUUGCCCAAGAGUUUUGGCCAGAGCAGAACAUAAAAGAUUCUUUUGAAAAAGUGACACUGAGAAGAUAUGAAAAAUGUGGAAAUGAUAAUUUUCAGUUAAAAGGCUGUAAAAGUGUGGAUGAAUGUAAGUUGCACAAGGGAGGUUAUAAUGGACUUAACCAAUGUUUACCAACUAUGCAGAGCAAAAUGUUUCAAUGUGAUAAAUAUGUGAAAGUCUUUAAUAAAUUUUCACAUUCAGAUAGACAUAAGAUAAAACAUAUGGAAAAUAAACCUUUCAAAUG
rnacentral:lncRNA from 10 species